rnacentral:rRNA from 1 species
CCUGAUGCAGCGACGCCGCGUGAGGGAUGACGGCCUUCGGGUUGUAAACCUCUUUCGACAGGGACGAAGCGCAAGUGACGGUACCUGUAGAAGAAGCACCGGCCAACUACGUGCCAGCAGCCGCGGUAAUACGUAGGGUGCGAGCGUUGUCCGGAAUUACUGGGCGUAAAGAGCUUGUAGGCGGUUCGUCGCGUCGUUCGUGAAAACUUGGGGCUCAACCCCAAGCUUGCGGGCGAUACGGGCGGACUAGAGUACUUCAGGGGAGACUGGAAUUCCUGGUGUAGCGGUGAAAUGCGCAGAUAUCAGGAGGAACACCGGUGGCGAAGGCGGGUCUCUGGGAAGUAACUGACGCUGAGAAGCGAAAGCGUGGGUAGCGAACAGGAUUAGAUACCCUGGUAGUCCACGCCGUAAACGGUGGGUACUAGGUGUGGGUUUCCUUCCACGGGAUCCGUGCCGUAGCUAACGCAUUAAGUACCCCGCCUGGGGAGUACGGCCGCAAGGCUAAAACUCAAAGGAAUUGACGGGGGCCCGCACAAGCGGCGGAGCAUGUGGAUUAAUUCGAUGCAACGCGAAGAACCUUACCUGGGUUUGACAUACACCGGAACCUGCAGAGAUGUAGGCCCCCUUGUGGUCGGUGU